UUGUUUGUUUUUUUUUGCUCAAAAUAUCACUUCGUACUAAUGAACCAGCAGCUGUGCAAACAUUCAUUUUCUUCUCCACAGUUACUGAUUUACACACUGAGUGGUGUCUGAUAUGGUCACUGGUGUAUGAACACCACUUGAUUGGACAAUUGUGUCCAUGAUGCAAAGUAUAUGUAACAGUAUUCUGAGUAUGAUGAGGAAAUUAAAAUUUUUUUUUACAUUCUAAAUACAGUAGGGUCUAUUUUCAAAUGUAUUUUUCUAUGUAGUACUCCAAUAAUAGUACGUGACCAUGACCUGCAGUAUUAUGAGUUGAAAAAUCUCAGCUUAAAAUGUGUCAUGGAAACCACAGGCCUGUAAUAGAAAACAAAAGAUAAACACUUUCAGAAAUCAAUACCACUGGGCUGGAUAUAAUGAAAUAUAUAUUUGGUAAUAUUUGGUAACAAAUAAAACAAAGAUAGGCACUCCCUGUGUGAAGUACAAGCCUUUUUCUUCAGACUGAUUAAAACGGUUAUGAUAAAAAAAAAAAUUACAAACUUGAAACAACAGUCAAUGUUUCUCUCGUAUAACAAAAAGCGUUCACACGGAAAUGCACAAUAUUUCUUCUCUUACACGUCUCUAUAUUGAGCAUUAACAAAGCUGAGGUAAAAUCACUGGCUGUCUGCAGCUUUUUGAGGAGAUUACACCGUGAACAACAACGCUGGCAGAAAUAACGUCACCCUGGAAGUGUGAGGCAAACACGCCCCCUUCUGAAAGGAACGCCUUCAAAAAAAAGGACUUUGAUUGUAAGAUAUUUGGAGUCACAAGUAAUGCGCCACUUCCAGGCUGAUUCGUCAAAUAAGGCCUUGUGACUCUAGUGCGACGAGUGGAACAUUUAAAUUAAAAAAAUUAAAAUAAAAAAAAGAACUGCAUGGAGGAGGUAGAGAGGGCUGGAAGGAGGUAAGGAGAUUGUGGAGGAACAGCGCAUAUGAGGUAGGCUUUUUGCUGUAAACAAAAAAAAAAAAAAAAAACACAGUUUGUAGUAAACAGAAAUUAAAGGAACUUAUUCAAAUCUGGAAAGGAAGGAAGGCCAGGGAGUCUGUGGCAACACUAGGGAACUUCUCACACAACACCUCAGUACAACAUCAACCUACUGUUAACCAAAAAUAACACAGAAAAAAAAGGAACGUACAACUAUGUUUAUAACUCAAGAGGUAGUUGCUAACAUCAGUAAAUGAACUGCUUCUGUCUGUUUGUCCUUGUUUAACAGAGUUGUUGGAUCAGUCAGUGGAUGAUUACCAAAAGAACGUAAUAUAUUUUUGGUUAAUUCCCUGAGAACAGUGCAUCAUCCUGAGAGGAAUUGCUGAAGCAGCGGCGGCAGCAGCAGUCGUGACCAUGGUGCCGUCUCAGUCUACAGAGCAUCACCAGGCCUCCGUAGCAAAGGUAAGCACAGACGGGAGAUUAACACCGUCCUGCACUUCCACGGUUCUGAGAGGACAAGGAAAAUGUUGAGGUAUUGGAGUGGAGCAGCUGUGAAGAUGAUUACACCAGGAAUCAAACACACUGUGUAAACCAGACAAAUGUCCACCGGUGACCAAAUGAUACGAGGACGAGCCAAGAGAGACCCAGGUUUACCUCAAGACAGAGGUGUGUGUGUGUGUGCGUGUGUGUAAUUAAAUGAAUCUUUACGAGAAACAAGUCACAGUCAUUCCCUGCAGUCACCAGUCCAGUGGUGGUUGUCUUCAGCUGUCAGUCAGUCAGUCAGUCGGUUGGUCAGUGAGUCAGUCGGUUGGUCGGUCAGUCAGUCAGUCAGUCACAUGCACAUGUCCGUACCCCAUUGAUCGUUGCCAUAGCUGCGCUGGUUAGAAAAACAUGAGUAAAAAAAA